ensembl:miRNA
GCAGGCAGUGAGUGGGUGGGACUGGCCUGGUGUCAGUCACCCUGACCGGCCUAUCCUCUCAG